rnacentral:tRNA from 1 species
GGCAGGAUAAACGGUUAAGUCGCAGGCCUCAUGAGCCUUGAGGAGCAAGUUCAACUCUUGCGCCAGGAACCA